rfam:Triticum aestivum genome assembly, contig: Triticum_aestivum_CS42_TGACv1_scaffold_328483_4BS
GAAAUACUCCCUCCGUCCGAAAAUUCUUGUCUUAGAUUUAUCUAGAUACGGAUGUAUCUAACACUAAAAUGUGAAUAGAUACAUCCGUAUGUAGACAAAUCUAAGCCAAGAAUAUUGGGACGGAGGGAGUAACUG